AUUGAACGCUGGCGGCAUGCCUUACACAUGCAAGUCGAACGGCAGCACGGGUGCUUGCCCCUGGUGGCGAGUGGCGAACGGGUGAGUAAUACAUCGGAACAUGUCCUGUAGUGGGGGAUAGCCCGGCGAAAGCCGGAUUAAUACCGCAUACGAUCUACGGAUGAAAGCGGGGGACCUUCGGGCCUCGCGCUAUAGGGUUGGCCGAUGGCUGAUUAGCUAGUUGGUGGGGUAAAGGCCUACCAAGGCGACGAUCAGUAGCUGGUCUGAGAGGACGACCAGCCACACGGGGACUGAGACACGGCCCAGCCCCCUACGGGAGGCAGGAGUGGGGAAUUUGGGAAAAUGGGCGAAAGCCUGACCCAGCAAUGCCGCGGGUGUGAAGAAGGCCUUCGGGUUGUAAAGCACUUUUGUCCGGAAAGAAAUCCUUGGCCCUAAUACGGUCGGGGGAGGACGGUACCGGAAGAAUAAGCCCCGGCUAACUACGU
rnacentral:rRNA from 1 species